UACGAAGGGGGCAAGCGUUUGUUCGGAAUUACUGGGCGUAAAGGGCGCGCAGGCGGCCGUUCAAGUCAGAUGUGAAAGCCCCGGGCUCAACCUGGGAAUAGCAUUUGGGGACUGGAUGGCUAGAGUUCGGGAGAGGAGAGUGGAAUUCCCAGUGUAGAGGUGAAAUUCGUAGAUAUUGGGAAGAACACCGGUGGCGAAGGCGGCUCUCUGGACCGAUACUGACGCUGAGGCGCGAAAAGCGUGGGGAGCAAACAGGG
rnacentral:rRNA from 1 species